GCUACUUUUGCAAACAUGUUAAUAGCAGGAUGAGUCCUGGGACUCUGGUGUGUGGYUUUCAGUCCUCUCCUGGCAAAGCAGGAGAUCAGAGCAGUGCGGGGUAGGUGCAGGGGUCUGGGCCACUGGGUGUUCUCAGAGGAGCAGUGGAAAGAUUGGCUGUUACAAAGUUCUUUUCCCUCAGAGAUGCAGAGGAAGCACACAGAAAGUGGAACUAGGUCACRUUAGUGAGUAUGAAAGAACGGCACAAGCAUGGAGGAACAACAUGAAGAUGUGUGGACACCGGUGGGACCGUGAAUUCAGUCCUUUGUUUCCAGCAAGCACACAGCUGGAAUGAACCAGUUAUUAGCGUUCAGCCCGUGCCACCUGGACUGGCUGCYUUGCCCAUGUGGCACAAGUGGCAGAGUCCCCAGCACCUCAGUGCACUGUCCCUCUCUCACAUCGUGCCUUGGAUCUGCCUGUUCUGUCUCCAGCCCUAAGUGUCUGGCACCAGAGUGCUGAGAAAUACCAGGCCAGGCAGAGCUGCAGGUGUGAAACCCCUCCAGCUUGUCA